rnacentral:rRNA from 1 species
ACGGAAGGCAGCAGUGAGGAAUAUUGGUCAAUGGGCGGAAGCCUGAACCAGCCAAGUCGCGUGAGGGAAGACGGCCCUACGGGUUGUAAACCUCUUCUGCGCGGGGGUAAAGUCGGGGACGGGUCCCCGACUGCAAGUACCGCGCGAAAAAGGAUCGGCUAACUCCGUGCCAGCAGCCGCGGUAAUACGGAGGAUCCGAGUGUUAUCCGGAUUUAUUGGGUUUAAAGGGUGCGCAGGCGGGAUGUCAAGUCAGUGGUGAAAUGGUGCGGCUCAACCGUAGCAUUGCCGUUGAAACUGGCGUCCUUGAGUGCGAAUGAGGUACGCGGAACGUGUCAUGUAGCGGUGAAAUGCAUAGAUAUGACACAGAACACCGAUUGCGAAGGCAGCGUACUGGAACGCGACUGACGCUGAGGCACGAAAGUGCGGGGAUCGAACAGGAUUAGAUACCCUGGUA